GUUCUCUGAUGUAACUUUACAUCGCCACGGGGAAAGAUGGCAGGCUUUUUCCCAUGGUGCAUUUUGCCAGUCACCAGUGGAAGGUGACCUCUGAAGGUCACCUUAAUUGGAAACGGACUAGACCUUGCAUGUGGAGAGAGAAUUCUACUGAAGAAGGUCCUGCUGGUUGGGGCAGACAACUUCACACUGCUUGGCAAGCCACUCCUCAGAAAGGAUCUUGUUUGAGUAGAAGCCAUAGUCAUUGAAAAGACAGAAUCAUGGACAAGAGUCAUUAUGAGAUUUAGGAGAAGGAAAAGCUUCAAGAAGAAAUAAUUCAUUGUGACCCCUCAGACCAUCCUCCGGAUAAACAGCAUUGAGAUUGCUCUGUGUUUGU
rnacentral:lncRNA from 1 species